rnacentral:lncRNA from 1 species
UGUAGUUUGUGAUCGUCUGUUUCUCUGAAACAUUGCGUUAUUCACCCCUGAUCUGGCUCGUCAUCUGUUUUGAUCAUCCUCCUUUGCUAUCUUCCUCAGCCCAGUCUGACAGUGAUUCCUGCAGUCAUCAAAGAGAGAGACUCAGUUCAGCUGAACUGUCAGACUCCAUCUGUCUCUGAGUGUUACUUCAAAAUGGAAGGGCAAGUGGAAUUCACCCUACCAUCACCCUGUCAACAGACACUCACAGGAACACUACUGGUGAGGUGGACAGGUCAGAGUUCACCAGCUGAGGUCAAAAUACAAUGUCAGUACAGUGCUACAGGUUCACAGUUUAGAUCCAUGUACAGUGAGCCUUCAACAGUCACAAUUCAGGACAUUCCUCAGCUGACAGUGAGUUCUACAGUCAUCAGAGAGACAGAAUCAGUUCAGCUGAGUUGUGAGACUCCUCCAUCUCGCCAUGUGUCUAACUGUUACUUCUACAUAGAGGUGGGGAAGAAUUUUCCAGGGUCAUUGUGUACGCAGACAAUAACAGGAACUGAGCUGCUGAAGAGGGCAGGUCCAACAUUUCCAGCUGUGGUCAAAGUGAAAUGUUACUAUGCUGUAGGGAGGUCUCACACAUCUCCUUUAAGUAACCCUGUCUCAGUCACUGUUCAGGAUCCAAAACCAGACAUUACAGUCCAAUUUGAUGAGGACUUCACCAUCAUCUGUUUGAUUCCUGGAUCGGUCAGUCCUGACAGCACCUGUAACCUGUAUGUUGGAGAGGAGAGUCAGCCAUCCUUCACAGCAAAGACCAAGAAGAGACAAUCCACCUCAGCACCCAGACAGGAGUUCUGUCAAUUCACUCCAAAUCAUAGUGAUCUGAUCAGUGGUCUACAGUCAGUGAGGAGUAAGGAGGUGAGCUGUGAUUACAGAGUGAGCUCUGGACCAAACUCUCUCUCUCCACGCAGUGAUGGGUACAGCUUUACAGAUCUGGUGGGAGUUCACAUCAGUGAUCCAACAACUGUACAGACACCUUCUAUAGCAGUGGGUUUGACUCCAGGUCCUAGAUCUACUUUGCCUCCCAGCAAGACAGUGAGUCCUACAGAAGUUUCAACUGUUACUUCUACCUUUACCCCAGACACCACAGUGACACCAACUACCAGGUCGACUGUUUGCUGUACUUUUACCACUGACACCCCAGCGAGUCCAACUGAAAGAGGUCAAAGCUCCACAGACAGUGUUGUGAAUUCAAACAGUCAAAAAAUAGUUUUGGCGGUGCAAUUAUGGCAGACAGCAGUGGGUAUGGCUUCUGGAGUGGGCGUGUUCCUGAUGGGAUUAACAAGAAAACCAAUUCUCAGAGGUGAUUUGGUGAUGGGAGCUAUGAGCAGUGCAGGCAUGUUGGAUUCAAGGGAUGCUGGGAUCUAUUCUCUCAUCACUUAUGUACCGUCCACGUUUUUGCCCUCAGGUCCUGUGCAGCAAUAUGCAAAUGAUGCUGAUUCAGAGAAUGCAGGGGUCUACAGCCUGAUCACUUCUGUACCAUUCACAUCUGUACCACCAGUCUGAUACGUACCACGUAUACAGCUCAAUCCCCGACAGACCAGCAACCUCAGCCCAGCCAGAUGGGUUGUACAGUCUUCUGCAGACACACUGAAACUACACCACUGGCUCUCUGUAUGUCUCACAGAAAUACUGUUUCUUUCUUUUUUAAAUAAAGGAUGUCCUUUAUUUAUCACACAUUGUGUUACUGUAAAUAAGUAUCUAAUACAUCUACUGCAGUGCCGUUUCUAUCUGUAAGCGACAUCCAGUAAGCAGCCGCUAGAGGCCCCUCCAGAGAAAAACGUAGGAUAGUAGAAUACACAACGUGCAGUUUAGAAAUGUGGUUCUGCAUCAGCAGUUUUCUCUUGUUAUGUCAGUCACUGACAGUCACUCAAUUAUCCCAUGUCAGCUAAGAUUUUAUAGAUUGCUUGGGAAGUAAGUCUCGCCAGCUAUCUAAGCCAUGUAGUAAUGUCCAAAUUACUGCCCAGGGGCCCUGACCUCCAGGGGCACCCAUUGAUUUUGUUAGUCACUCUCACUCAGAUAUCAAAUGAACAUGGCUUAAGUCAUGGCCAAAUGUGUAGAAUUGCAGGAAAUCAUUUAUAAAAUGUCUCUCAAUCCCUUGGAAAAAUGUGUAGAACUGCAGGAAAUUAGCUUUAAAACUGCAAAGUUCUCUCCGCCCAAUGGCAAAAUGCGUAGAAUUGCAGGACAUUAACUUUAAAGCUCCAAAUGUUUCUCUCCGCCACCAUGAGCGUGGCCACUAAAAUGUUUUGUCUGCGAGGUGGGCAAAUCUCGCUUAGGGCCCCCAAAAUGCUUGGAACUGCCGUAAUUUACUGUUUCACACACGGACACCUGGCUUGUGUUGCAUGCCUAUCCAUAAUAUCUGUUAAUGUGUUGGUAUUUUAAUUUGGGGAUUUUGGAGUGGUCCGGGGCAUACUCCCCUUAACAUUCUUAAGUGUAUAUAU